AGCUUGCUGGGUGGAUUAGUGGCGAACGGGUGAGUAACACGUGAGUAACCUGCCCCUGACUCUGGGAUAAGCGUUGGAAACGACGUCUAAUACUGGAUAUGAUCACUGGCCGCAUGGUCUGGUGGUGGAAAGAUUUUUUGGUUGGGGAUGGACUCGCGGCCUAUCAGCUUGUUGGUGAGGUAAUGGCUCACCAAGGCGACGACGGGUAGCCGGCCUGAGAGGGUGACCGGCCACACUGGGACUGAGACACGGCCCAGACUCCUACGGGAGGCAGCAGUGGGGAAUAUUGCACAAUGGGCGAAAGCCUGAUGCAGCAACGCCGCGUGAGGGAUGACGGCCUUCGGGUUGUAAACCUYYUUUAGUAGGGAAGAAGCGAAAGUGACGGUACCUGCAGAAAAAGCACCGGCUAACUACGUGCCAGCAGCCGCGGUAAUACGUAGGGUGCAAGCGUUGUCCGGAAUUAUUGGGCGUAAAGAGCUCGUAGGCGGUUUGUCGCGUCUGCUGUGAAAUCCCGAGGCUCAACCUCGGGCUUGCAGUGGGUACGGGCAGACUAGAGUGCGGUAGGGGAGAUUGGAAUUCCUGGUGUAGCGGUGGAAUGCGCAGAUAUCAGGAGGAACACCGAUGGCGAAGGCAGAUCUCUGGGCCGUAACUGACGCUGAGGAGCGAAAGCAUGGGGAGCGAACAGGAUUAGAUACCCUGGUAGUCCAUGCCGUAAACGUUGGGCGCUAGAUGUAGGGACCUUUCCACGGUUUCUGUGUCGUAGCUAACGCAUUAAGCGCCCCGCCUGGGGAGUACGGCCGCAAGGCUAAAACUCAAAGGAAUUGACGGGGGCCCGCACAAGCGGCGGAGCAUGCGGAUUAAUUCGAUGCAACGCGAAGAACCUUACCAAGGCUUGACAUACACCGGAAACGGCCAGAGAUGGUCGCCCCCUUGUGGUCGGUGUACAGGUGGUGCAUGGUUGUCGUCAGCUCGUGUCGUGAGAUGUUGGGUUAAGUCCCGCAACGAGCGCAACCCUCGUUCUAUGUUGCCAGCGGGUUAUGCCGGGGACUCAUAGGAGACUGCCGGGGUCAACUCGGAGGAAGGUGGGGAUGACGUCAAAUCAUCAUGCCCCUUAUGUCUUGGGCUUCACGCAUGCUACAAUGGCCGGUACAAAGGGCUGCGAUACCGUAAGGUGGAGCGAAUCCCAAAAAGCCGGUCUCAGUUCGGAUUGAGGUCUGCAACUCGACCUCAUGAAGUCGGAGUCGCUAGUAAUCGCAGAUCAGCAACGCUGCGGUGAAUACGUUCCCGGGCCUUGUACACACCGCCCGUCAAGUCAUGAAAGUCGGUAACACCCGAAGCCGGUGAGCAC
rnacentral:rRNA from 1 species